AGAGUUUGAUCCUGGCUCAGGACGAACGCUGGCGGCAUGCCUAAUACAUGCAAGUCGGACGAGCUUCCGUUGAAUGACGUGCUUGCACUGAUUUCAACAAUGAAGCGAGUGGCGAACUGGUGAGUAACACGUGGGUAACUUGCCCAGAAGCAGGGGAUAACACUUGGAAACAGGUGCUAAUACCGUAUAACAACAGAAACCGCAUGGUUUCUGUUUGAAAGAUGGUUUCGGCUAUCACUUCUGGAUGGACCCGCGGCGUAUUAGUUAGUUGGUGAGGUAAAGGCCCACCAAGACAAUGAUACGUAGCCGACCUGAGAGGGUAAUCGGCCACAUUGGGACUGAGACACGGCCCAAACUCCUACGGGAGGCAGCAGUAGGGAAUCUUCCACAAUGGACGAAAGUCUGAUGGAGCAAGGCCGCGUGAGUGAAGAAGGGUUUCGGCUCGUAAAACUCUGUUGUUAAAGAAGAACACUUCUGAGAGUAACUGUUCAGAAGUUGACGGUAUUUAACCAGAAAGCCACGGCUAACUACGUGCCAGCAGCCGCGGUAAUACGUAGGUGGCAAGCGUUGUCCGGAUUUAUUGGGCGUAAAGCGAGCGCAGGCGGUUUCUUAAGUCUGAUGUGAAAGCCUUCGGCUUAACCGGAGAAGUGCAUCGGAAACUGGGAGACUUGAGUGCAGAAGAGGACAGUGGAACUCCAUGUGUAGCGGUGGAAUGCGUAGAUAUAUGGAAGAACACCAGUGGCGAAGGCGGCUGUCUAGUCUGUAACUGACGCUGAGGCUCGAAAGCGUGGGUAGCAAACAGGAUUAGAUACCCUGGUAGUCCAUGCCGUAAACGAUGAGUGCUAGGUGUUGGAGGGUUUCCGCCCUUCAGUGCCGCAGCUAACGCAUUAAGCACUCCGCCUGGGGAGUACGACCGCAAGGUUGAAACUCAAAGGAAUUGACGGGGGCCCGCACAAGCGGUGGAGCAUGUGGUUUAAUUCGAAGCUACGCGAAGAACCUUACCAGGUCUUGACAUACUAUGCAAAUCCUAGAGAUAGGACGUUCCCUUCGGGGACCAGCCGCCUAAGGUGGGACAGAUGAUUAGGGUGAAGUCGUAACAAGGUAACCAAGG
rnacentral:rRNA from 1 species